CGAACACAGUGAAGGGUCUUGUGCAAGGGACCACAGCUGUGUGUGUUUAUGAGUGGAGUGACCAUGUCCUGAAGACAGCAUUCCACAGCACUUCUCAUUCUCCAUCUCUUACAUUCUUUUUGAUCCCUCUUCCGCAAUGUUCCCAGAGCCAUGGUGUCCUUGUGGUGGGGUUCGUCAUCCGUUAUAAGUGGCUCCCUUCCCUCUGGCUUCUUCUUACUCCCCAAUAACUCAAGAGAGAGUCUGAGCACCUUU